UCAAGUUUACAAAAAGCACAUACCAAGAGGGCAGCACACUACAGCCCCUGAAAUUUACACUAGAAUUAAAGUCAAACAGAAAUCAGCAUCACACGGCUCCUGCAUCUUCACUUCACGUACGAAAGCUUUUUGGCUUGACUUUUUAAUGGGACCACGCAAAGUACCAAAUGCUGGAAGCAACGCAUUGGCCCUUUCUCAAAUUUCUUCUUGCUUCUGAACGUGGACCCCGCACGCAAGUGUUCGUCUGGAGCAUUUCAGUUUUGACAUAACAAUAAGAGGAAAAGUAAGGGAAUUUCUUUCCGCUUUUGAUCCUUGGACGCAACUCAACGCUGCCCUGCAUCAACACAUCUCACGGAAAGCUACAUUUCACAAGGCGCUACAACUUCUUUGCACCAGAAACACCAUACCAAUUCAUGCAAGCCUCAUUCCAAGACAUUGCUAUAGCAGAGCACAUCCCUUCCUUCUUUCCUUUCUUGUACAUAUAGCUACUAUGAGUAGGAAAGUGAGGCUCGGUUACAGGUGCUGCAAGAGUUUAGCAAGCCUCGGUUACACAAAGGAAUGCCUACUCCAUUUUUGGUGUUUUUGGUCUAUGUGAUAGAAAGGCAACUCAUUUGUUACCUCAAAGAACUCAAUCUUUGCAUGAGCAAAUUAGUUAAUUCAUGCAGAGAGCAUAUGAGACCUUCCAUCCAAGCUGGGAAAGGUUCAAAGAGCUGAUCAACAUAUGUCCUCAUCAUGGGUUCGAGUCAUGGCGAUUGGUGAAUUACUUCUACACUGCUUUAACCCAUGCGUCGAAGCAAUUUGUUCAUACCAUGCACAUUGGGGAAUUUUUCAAUAAGGAGCCUGAAGAUACUCUUGGCUUCCUUAAUUAUUUGGCCAAGAAUGCUCAACAAUGGAAUACAAGAGUCGAAAGAAAACCAAGUACUACUCAACCAUUGAGAGCAAUAAGUGGUGGAGGGCGGCAUGAACUAAAAGAUGAUAUUGAUGUUCAAGCACAAUUGGCUAUUGUCGUUAGAAGGUUGGAAGUCGUGGAAUUGGCAAAAGGGAAAUUAGUGAGUAAAGUUCAGGAAGUGUGUGCUCUCUGCACCGAUGCUAGUCAUAAAACUUUGGAGUGUCCUGCUUUGCCAAUGUAUCAAAAUGGUGAUGUAGAACAACCUCAAGGUGUAAAUUGGGUGAGUCGGCCCCAGAACCCACCAAUAUUAAACAUCUACACUCCAGCAUGGCGGAACCACCCCAAUUUUUCAUGGAGAAAUGACUAAGGACAAUCAAGUCAAACAGUUGCACUCCCUCAAAAUAAAUUCCAACAAUUUCUCAUGGCUUAGUAUCAAUAACCCUUCCAACCUCCUAAAAAGUCACUGGAUGAUACAGUUUCUUAGAUGGCUACCACCUUUCAGCAAUUUAUAGUAAGCCAAAAUUCAACCAACGCUCAAAAUUCUCAAGCUAUCAAUGGAAUCAAAGGCACCCUUAGCAAAGUGAUGACUACUGUAAACACCUUGGAGAAGUGUAAAUUUCCAGUUCAAGCUCAACCCAACCCGCAAAUGUACAAGCCAGCUCAAGUGCAUUCAUUUGAAAAUGAAGACCUCAAACCAGUGAAAGUGGGGAUUACACUGAGGAGUGGUAAGCAAAUUGAGCGACUAGGUGUUUUUGGACAAGCUAAACCAAGGUCAUCUAUUGAAGAUGAUUGUGAGUCCGAAUAGUGCCCCAAGGUCUUGGAAGAUGUAACGGAAUCACCCAAGGCACAGGUUGACUCAAGUGGGAACCAACAAAAAGAUAAUGAGCCUAUAGGUCAGACAAUUGAGGAGUUGAAAAAGGAAUAUGUGUCUACAGUACCAUACCCUCAAAGAUUUUUGUCGACUACUAAGAGUAAACAGCAAAAAGAAAUUUUGGAGGUGUUCAGGUUUCUGCUGUUGGAGGCAUUUAGCAAAUUCCCUCUUAUGCCAAGUUUUGGAAGGAAUUAUGCAUAGUGAAGAGACAAAUGAAUGUGAAGAAAAAAGCCUUUCUAACGAUAAUUCAGUGUGAGACUCCUCUAAGGUAUAGAGAUCUAAGCUCCCCUACAAUUUCCAUCAUGAUUGGUGAAUCCUGAAUUGCUAGAGGUUCGUUGGAUUUGGACAAUGGUGUGAAUUUGUUGCCAUACUCACUUUAUGAGCAACUUGGUUUUGGAAAAUUAAAGAUGACCACAA